GACGAACCGAGCGAACGUUAUUCGGAAUCACUGGGCUUAAAGGGCGCGUAGGCGGUCGUUCAAGUCGCGUGUGAAAGCCCCCGGCUCAACUGGGGAGGGUCACGCGAUACUGAUCGACUCGAAGGCAGGAGAGGGAAGUGGAAUUCCCGGUGUAGUGGUGAAAUGCGUAGAUAUCGGGAGGAACACCAGUGGCGAAGGCGACUUCCUGGCCUGUUCUUGACGCUGAGGCGCGAAAGCUAGGGGAGCAAACGGG
rnacentral:rRNA from 1 species